AUCGGAAUGACUCCAAACUCUCAGUCGGGCUUUCCAGCUGCCCCUAGCUGCUUGUCCUCCAUCUGUCAGUGCUUUAUGAUUUGAUCAAUUUGAUCAUUGGCCUCCUUUCCAUACUGGCAAGAAUAUCAGCAUUUUCCUUUCCCAUCCUACCUCAUAUCCUCCCUACAAAUGUACAAUCACAUCUUUCAUAAAAAGCAGAUGAGAAAACAGCCUGCACUGGGUCAGGGUAAGCUGUAAAUCAUAAUAGUGGUUUAGCAAGAAACCACAUCAGUGAGGACCUCUGGUCUGUUUUUGUCCCAGCCAGUAGGGUGGAGGAGAAAGUAGCCGUGCUGGUGCCCCUGGCCCCCACACAGCCAACCCAGGCAGCAUCAUUUAUGGAGGAUUCACUAAUUUGUUCUUUCCUCUCCCUUCCUACCUUCACGUCACUGGUUUUGUUUUUCUUUUCCCUCUUUCCAGAUAUGUUCAUUGACCAGUCUGUGCCAGACACAACAAGAGGCACUGGGACUCCGAAAGUGAACAGGCCACUGUUUGUGCCUUGAAGGAGCUUCCAGUCUUGACCCUGCUACAGGAUCAGAUACUGUUGGGCACAAGCCCUACUCCUGAAAAAUCACAAGCACCAUUUACCUUUGUUGAUAUCAUGGUGCAAUCCCGAUGGUCUGCCACUGCUUACAGUAAAUGCCAAAAUCCCCCGUGGGAUCUGACCUCUUUCAGAGACAGUUAACACAAGUGCCACUCACAUAGCGUUUAACAGACUGUGUCAAACAAAGCAAAGAUUUAAAUGCUGCUCCUGCGGGUGCAGAACUCUCCCAAGUUUAAUUUUUCUUGCUUCUCUGAUCUCCAGGAUUCUAGCUCCGCCUACUCCUUUUGCUUUUCACUUCUCUGCCCACACUCUCCAGAGACUGGACCACUUGGCUUCUCCCGAACUUUGACCUACAGAAUCUGCCUGUCUUCAAAGGGAGCCAAAUUUCAAGCCUUUCCCUUCAGGUCUGGAACCUUGACUAUUUAAACUGAGCCCUAUGGACGGAUACUUCACAGCAGAGGAAGGAGACUCCGAAGGGAUUACCUUAUUCCAUUUAUCUUGGGUAAGUAAAUGUCCCAUCCUGCUCCCACCAGGUUGAAAAUGGCCGCCCACAUGGGAGGCUGAAUGAACUAGACCAGGUCCUGGGAGGUGUUCUCCUAACCAAUUUGUUGAUAAUUAAUAAA
rnacentral:lncRNA from 1 species